rnacentral:piRNA from 5 species
UGGUGACUCUAGAUAACCUCGGGCCGAU